AACGAACGCUGGCGGCAUGCCUAACACAUGCAAGUCGAACGAGACCGUCGGGCUUAGUGGCGCACGGGUGGGUAACGCGGGGGAACCUGCCCUUAGGUUCGGAAUAACUCCCCGAAAGAGGUGCUAAUACCGGAGAAUGUAUUCGGACCAAAGAUCUAUCGCCUUUGGGUGGGCCCGCGUUGGAUUAGCUAGUUGGUAGGGUAAAAGCCUACCAAGGCGACGAUCCAUAGCUGGUCUGAGAGGAUGAUCAGCCACACUGGGGCUGAGACACGGCCAAGACUCCUACGGGAGGCAGCAGUGGGGAAUAUUGGACAAUGGACGCUGGCCUGAUCCAGCAAUGCCGCGUGAGUGAUGAAGGCCUUAGGGUUGUGAAGCUCUUUUACCCGGGGUGAUAAUGACGGUACCGGGAGAAUAAGCUCCGGCUAACUCCGUG
rnacentral:rRNA from 1 species